AAACAUCUGUCAUGUCGUAUAUAUUUAUCCGCUGGCCACUGUCGCGAUAGUAGGCGGAGUUUAUAAUUAUUAAAUUUUUCAGCUCUAACAAUGUUCUCGUUCCACUUUUCGAUAAUAUUCUUUGAUAUAUAAUUUCCGCGUUUGUGCUGUGAUCGUUACGUUGACGGUGAAGUGAAACAAAGGCUGUGCUAAUCGUUGAUAGUUUCGUAUGAUGUCACAACUAUAUCGCGUGAAUCCUUGAAAUUAUGAGUGUUAGUGUUGAAGCGGACGCGUCCAGCCCUCUGUCGGAGGGUCAGAGUGCGGGGUUGGACCAUACUGGGUCAAAGUCAUCAUCGGAUAGUCCGAGUCUCGAUACGACUGAGAAUGGUGAGGCAGGUCAGGGCGCCGAGAAAUCGGAACCGAGCACGCCCAAGCCUCACCCCAUGGCCUUCACGAUCGACUUCGGGGCUUCCAAGCCAGUCGACAAUCGCAGGCUUGAGGAACUGGCGAAAAAAUCGCAGGCAAGGCAUCAGAGGGUGCAGUCCAUGUCUGCUGGCUUGACACGACCCAGCCCUACGGCUCAGAAGCCUCCCAUGAGCGCUAAGCUGCCUCGGAAAGCCCAAGGAUAUAACUCUGAGGGCUACUUCUCCUCAGACCAGGAAGACAGCUGCUUGUCCGGUUCAGUAAAGCUCCGGAGCAGUCCAUUAGCCCAAGAAAAAGUCCAAUUCAUUACCAGUCCUGUUACAAACAGACAUAUCAAGUCUCCCAUCCAUGAUAUUCAGCCUAAGAAAAUGUCCAAGAGUCCAAUAGUUGAUAGUAUCAUGUCCAGGAGUGACAACUUCACAUCCCGACAAGGUUUGAAUCUGCCAUUGAAGAGUGCAAAUAGUUCCUACUUGAGAGAUGUCCAUAGAACACCAAGUUACGGUACCUUGAAUCUAUCAUCUAGUUAUCAGAGGACAAUGCCAAACAUAAUAGACCAGAGUCCUGAAGGGGUGUUGUUAACUGAUAUUUCUAGUCCAGAGUUAGAUAUUUUGACCCCAGAUAAUGGUUUGUCAACUCCAGAGAAAAGUCCACUACGUAAAGUCCGAGCUCAGUCUGAAACACCAGAUUUGUUGUUUAAAAAAUGUAAUGCUAAAGUUGAGCCUUUGUAUAUUGAUGAUGAGGUUGAUGGACAGUCAAAUUCUUCUACCGGUACAUACACAAUCGAGGGAGAUAAUUAUACAGAAGAACAGAAAGCUAGAAUGAGUAUAGAUAGGACUUUUGGUAGCUCAAUGAAUGACACAAUUGAGGAAGUCUUUAGGCCAAGUAGCGAAAGAGACCCAGAAUUAGUAUUUGACUAUCCUAACAGGGUAAUAACAAAAGAACCUAGAAGAGAUUCCAUGCGAAGUCCAAAUCUAAAUGAAACUUUUGAAUUGCCAAAAGUCUCUAAAGACAAAAAUGUUCUAGAAAUCUCUUGUUGCUACGAAUCGCCAUCAGAAACCGAUUUGGCAGCACAAACUUCCAAACAAAUCAAGUCUACCCGUAGUUACUUAGAGAAAAUCAAGAAUCGAGUCCGAACUAUAACAGAAAAGACUUUUGCUAAGUCGCCUCCGAAGCACGGUGAUGAGGUAGAUGUCGGUAGCUUUACCUCAGUCACUACCUCAGGUGUAUUAAGCUCUAAAUAUCCAGCUAAACAAGAAAUACCUGUCCGUAGACGUUGUAGCCUAACCAAGUCUGAAAUAGAUCAAACGGAUUACAUACACCGACUGUCCAGAGAAUCCUCAGUACCAGUUUCUUUGCCAAGCAACAAGCCUUUAGAAGCGAAAUUCGAAAGCACUGCCCUUAAAAACGCUCAAAAAGCUUUAAGGGAUGACCAAAUGUCUGACCAAGUAAUGGGACUGUCCUAUUUAAGCUUAAACAGAUGCAAGGGUGACAAGACGUGGAUACAGGACUGGGCGGAGAGUGUUAAGAAGUACAAUAACCACACAUUGGGAAGGAAGGAGGACUUGAAUGGGACUUUUACUGUCGACGGCGAGCGGCCGCCGAUCAGCCCGCGACACGUUAAACCCCGCAGCCCGCAUGGCAGCGCGACUAAAAUCCCUAGUCCUGUGGGGACUUUACUACAUAGGCAGACACCGGAUCUCAUCCCCGUCCAAGACACCGAGACGUAUCUCCUCAAAACGCAAAAUGCCAUUACCAACCUUCAAGCCAAGCUCAACUCCCGCCCCUCUAUUCCCCCCCUACUCACCUCCAGCCUCAUCAGCGAGAAGACCGCCAUCUCCCGUCUUCCAGUCUCGCAGUUAAGCCGGUCCAACUCACUCAACUACAGGCUAAGAAGAAAAGAUACUUCAGGGGAUAGCAGUCCUUUGAGAAGUCCAGGAAACUAUAUUAUUACCGGUUCAGCCAAAAUGCCAGAAAGCACAAAGAUUUUACUUAACAGCACUUCGAGGUCUCUAGACACGGAUAAACGAAAACGCGAUUCUAAUAUGAACAGUCCUUCCUCAGAAAGAGGUUUGUUAAGCAACAGUUCUGAUGAUAAAACCAUCUCAAAUCGUCCGCAAUACGAUGUUGACGCGAUUCUUUCACCGCAUAGAAAACACAUUAGGAACAAAUCUUUAGAUGGCCCAGAUUAUUUCAACAGUAAUGCAAACAAUGCGAAUCAAGUUUCUCUUAAGACGGUACUGAAGAAUAAUGCUGAGGCAUAUCCGAGGAUCGAUAUCCGUUACCAGGGCGACAAGAAACAUCAGAGGGUAGCCAGCGAUGGGAAAAAACCUGGCUAUACUAAUUACGCUCCGUUCGGCUCUUCCAUAAAACGAUCGAGCUCCUUCAACACUGUUAAUAAGAAUAACAACUAUUUGGAUCCGCAGAGGAUAACCUCUAGAAGAUCGAGCGGACAUUCAGAGGAAUACAAAGACUAUCUAUCCGAUGAAUCUGACAACGCAUCUUACGAAAAAUCCCAAGACAGGUACAAACGCACACAUCGCGGUAGAAUCGAUUCUCCAGACUUAAAAUCGAUUGCGCCUGCAAAUUCUCCAAAAUGUCCAAAUACCCCAGAAAUGCAAAGAAAAUUCGGGCCGGGAUUGGUCAGAAAUUCAGUACGAGUGACGAAUAAAGAGCGAAUGAGGGCGUCAGAACCGAGGGAGGUGCAGAAGCCAGUCGGUCAUCAGAGUAGGAGGAUAUCGGAGCCGACGAGGCAGGCAGUGCUUAACAGGCUUACGAAGUCUAGGAGCUCGACGAGAGAGUUCCAGCCUAAACCUCAGGAUAAAGGUCAGAAGAAACCCAGCCAAUACCGUUCAUCAUCUGCGCUCGCCUCCAAAGAGGCAGAGUUUAACAACUGGAAGAAACGAUCUUCAUACGACCCCAUGAAAGCGGCUCAGGAGGGAAGGAGAAAACAGAUGGCAAAGAGGCAGGAGUGUAACAAGGACGACCUUAGUUCUCCCAGCCACUCAUCUCCGGUCCACCGCUCGCAAUCCUUCCACACCACCAACAUAGCGGAUCUCGAGACCCUCGACUACUCAUCCGAAGAAGACCCCAUAACUCUACCAAUAGACCCUAUGAUUACCUCCACUCACUCCGAUAUCUUGGACCUCAGGCCGAAGGAAUACCGCGAUUUAAGAAGACAGGCGGUCAAUAAUGAUGUGGUCAUGACGAGAGACUACGUGACUAAUUUCCAGGUCAACCAACCCGCAGAGAAACUCAAACGCAGCGUACACACAGACAAACGGAAAACCUUCAUCUUAGACGACAUAACCCCGACCAAAGAGAACAUAGAUUUCCUCUCCAAAGCCGAAGCCAUAGACAAGAGAAAAACGUUUAUCCUAGACAGCGAUACGUCUACGACCAAUGGCAGUAGCCCGAGGAAUUCGUCGAUAUUUAGUCAUGAGAAGAGUAUGACGACGGGGACGAGUGAUACUGAAGGAGAGAGCGGGACGGAAGAUAGGAGUGCUCCGGUUGUGAUGAGACAGGGGAAGAAGCCGGCGGCACAGGCGAAGCAACAGAGGUACAGCGGCGACUUCUCCAUGUCCUCCUCAACCACCUCCCUGAAGAAACCCGUGGCCCCGCGCUACCUGGACAUCUCGAAGUAUAAGUCCGAGAAUUCUCCGAAGAAUUUUCUGCGCCGCGACCCGAGCAAGAAAUAUGUGGCCGUGUUACCUGAACGACCCCAAAGAGGGAGUGCUCAGCAAAUUGAGAUGGAACAAAAGAAACAAGAAUUAGAAAAGUGGAAACGACGGGCAUCAUACGACCCGCGCAAAGCCGCGGCACUAGGCAAGUCGCCCGGCACCAAAGCCCCGCCCAAAACCGCCAGAGCGUGACACGUGUCAAUGUGCAUGCAAUACUGCUAGAAGGAAGCCAUCUCGUUUCUGUGAGCAGCGUCCUGCGAUCUCAGUCGUUCCACGGACCCAUGCUGACGGCGGGCCGCUACCAGCCGCCGCCGCACAUCGCGGAGACAUACGACGCAUCCAGCGACAACGACUUCUAACCAAGCGGCACAAAGGCUCAUUUCGUUUGAACGUUGCUACUGGCAUGGACUUCCAACUUGCCAGUGCCACUGGCGCCGGUCACUUGAACGAUGUAAGCGAGCCUUCAGUUAGGAGCUAUGUGAUAGUGUGACUUUGAAAUUGGAAUGUUUGGCGCGAAACGUUUUUAUGCAAAGUUUUUUUAAAUCGUAGAACGUAUUUUCCAAAGCGCGGUAGCCAUUUUGAAAACAUUCGGCGCCAAUUUGAUUGUCGUGAUUUUUAUUUGAGAUUUUUUUGCGUAGAAUACAUAUAAUGAUGCGCAAUCAUAAUAAACAAGUCAUUUUUUAUUUUAUUUGACGAUUAUUUAAGUUUAAGCUGGGGGUUGAGGCAAUUUUGUUUAUUUACAGAUUUACAAAUUGAAUUUAUAUAGGCUUAUUUAUAAUUGGUAUUAAUGAUAGAAUUAUUUGAACCAUUUGGUACUACACUAUGGAAAUAAAUUAAGUACAAUGAUUUAAUUGAGUAUAAUAAUAAUUUUGAUAAAUAUUUGAGAUUUGUUCAUUGUGUAAUUAUCAGAGUUAAUAUUAAAUUAUACAGUGUAUUUCAUUGUUAUAUUACCUACUAUUUAUGCUUUAAAUGUUCAUUAAAUGGAUUCGGAGAUUGAAAAAUACAUAAUCAUCAAUGUGAUUUUAUUAUAAAAUUACUUACUAUAUAAAAUAUUAUUCCAUAGUAUUGUAGUACCGUUCUAUUUUUUUGUCAAAGUAUUAAAUCGUUAUAUAUACUUAAUGCAAUUAAAAUUUAAAGUUUUGAUAUAUACAGCAUCACUUUAAGUGUAGAUAAGAGAUUCUUUUUAUUAUACUUGUAUCAAAAGUAUAUAGUUGGUUAGCUUUUUUGGCUCUAUUCAUAAAUUCAGUAUUUUUUAUAAUGUUGGCUAAUUUUAUUAUUUGAUUAGUUUCAUCAGCAAUAGUAUAAUAUUUUUCUGACAGCUUUGGUACGGUGACAAAUGUCAUCUCCAUACAAUUUGUAACCUUAAAACACAAUUUCUAGCAACAUUGUAUUAAGAUAAAACUGUUACCGUAGCCACGCUGUUUGAGCAAUACUAUAGUUAUAUAUGAACGCCAACAUAAUACAUACUCCUAAAGCCCAUCCAAGAAAAAAUGGCAUUUGAAUUUGAAAUCAAUGGUUAAAGGAAUAAGGCUGAGUUUCUUUUGUUUUAAUAUUUAGGGAAAUAAAAUACAACUAUGUUCCAAUUGAAAAUGAUUGAAAUUUCAUAGAAGUAUUUAGUAGGUACUAUAUGUAGGACCGUGGGCGUUGGAAGGAUUGUAAAAUGUCGAGUUUAUGGAUAGAGUUUAGUCCGUUAUUGCUCAUAUCACAUACAUCGAUGUUGUUUGCUAGUAUUCCAUAUGUACUAUUUGUUGUAGACCUAGUUAUGUUAAGUUUUUUCGUAAGUGCAAUAUUUCAUCACAUGUUUUUCCAUUGAGCAAGUACAUCAUGAAAUUAAUGAAAUAAAUAGUAACAAUUUUUUAAUCGAGGUUGCUAUUUUUGUAUGUUACGAUUAAAAUAUUUUAUGCGGUAAAAUACUCGGAUUAUUCAUAAAAUAUUGAAAAUAAUUGUGUAAAAUAGUUGUGGAAAGCUUUACGAAUAAAUAUGUUGCAAUAUAUAAGGCUAGGAAUUUAAUUUAAUUUCCGUGCAAAAUCUUGUUCUCUGACAGAAAUUAUUUUGCUAUUCGUCGCUAAAUUUAAUGUAAUAAAUAAGCUACUCGAAAUUAAGAAAAGUGAUCAUUAUUUGUAAGUAUUAUUGCUGUAAUGUUGGCUAACAUGUAUUAUUUCAUUUUGUUCAAAAGGCCAAUAUAAUAAUGUAUUAUUAAAUAUGAUCUCUAUAUGUUUUCUUUCCGUUUAAAAGAUCUGAGUACUUACAAAAUGCAAAGAUUUCUGAAUUUGGAGUAGUGAUUUUAGGAUAGUGUUACGUUCUGGCUCCGAAUGAUCAUGUUAAUAUAUAUCAGUGUCCGCAAGCCACGUAGUAUUUGUAAUAAUUUGAUGUCUAGCAUUUCGUAAAGAAUUAGUAACAGGAAAUUAAUAAUAAAAACUGGAAGUAA